ACCAGUCAGAGUGGAUUAAGGCCUACCCUAAGGUAGGCCUUUAACCUAAUCACAUUUUUUAAAAGGUCUUUCUUCCAAAUACAGUCACAUUUUGAGGUCCUGGGGGUUAGGGCUUCAUCAUAGAAAUUUUGGGAGGAUAGUUCAGGCCACAACAGGUGCUGUCAACUUUUUUCUGAAGAUGAAUUUUCAUCCUUCCUGGUGGUUCUUGUCAGAAGGACCUACACAUCCCACAGGUUGGCCAUGGUAUAUCUCUGGCUUGCAGAAAAUACUCAGGUUCCAUUUUCCCAGAAAAUCCAAAGCGACCACUUUCUCCUCACUCCCAGCUGACCACUCCGUCUCUCUUGUAUUUUGGGAUUCUCAGACAUGAUUCAGCCAUCAGCCCUCAGUGACAGUCAACCUCCAGGGACACAGCAUCUUGGAGGCCACUCCUGGAGGGUGGAUAGCGGGCAAUUGGGACUUGGUGUGCACCUAUCGCUGUCUUCAAAAUUCCUUCUCUACUCCACCAACUGCUCUCCUCAUCCAGCCUUCUUCGUGGGCUGGAGGUGGUCAGGCUGGAGAGAGAUCCCUCACCCCUUCCACUGUGAGGACAUAGCAGGAAGGCAUCAUCUACAAGCCAGAAAGUGGGCCCUCAAUAGACACCGAAUCUGCCCGUGCAUUGAUCUAGGACUUCCCAGCCUCCAGAACGGUGUUGGCUACCUUUGUGGUUUUAAGAAAGCCUGAGGGCCUGAAGGCAGCCACGGGAGAAGCCCUUUCCGAGGGCAUUCGGAACCUUCCCAUCCUAGAGGUGAAGCUGAACUGUCACCAGGACUUAUGACCCGCGGCUUCGCUCCCAUUCUGCCCAUUGAGUUCCACAAGAUGGGCUCCUUCCGCAGGCCUAGACCGCGCUUCAUGAGCUCCCCCGUACUCAGUGACCUGCCCCGAUUCCAAGCAACUCGGCAGACUCUGCAGCUGAGCUCCAGCUCAGCCUGGAACAGCGUUCAGACUGCUGUGAUCAACGUUUUCAAAGGGGGUGGCUUGCAAAGCAACGAGCUCUAUGCCCUGAACGAAAACAUCAGGCGGCUGUUGAAGAGUGAACUUGGAUCAUUCAUUACAGACUAUUUUCAGAACCAGCUUCUUGCAAAAGGACUGUUCUUUGUGGAGGAGAAGAUCAAGCUGUGUGAAGGUGAAAAUCGCAUUGAGGUUCUGGCUGAAGUCUGGGACCACUUCUUCACUGAGACUCUCCCUACCCUGCAAGCAAUAUUUUAUCCAGUUCAGGGCCAGGAGCUGACUAUCCGCCAGAUCUCCCUGCUGGGCUUCCGAGACCUGGUCCUGCUGAAGGUGAAGCUGGGUGACUUGCUGCUGCUGGCCCAGUCCAAGCUGCCCUCGUCCAUUGUCCAGAUGUUGCUCAUCCUGCAGAGUGUUCACGAGCCCACAGGCCCAAGUGAGAGUUAUUUGCAACUGGAGGAGCUGGUGAAGCAAGUGGUUUCUCCUUUCCUCGGCAUCAGUGAUGACCGUAGCUUCUCAGGCUCUGCGUACAUGCUGGCCAGGCGGCACUCCAGGGUCCGGCCCAAGGUGACUGUCCUGAACUAUGCCUCCCCGGUAACUGCAGUCAGCCGGCCACUGAAUGAGAUGGCCUUGACCCCACUGACAGAGCAGGAGGGGGAAGCCUACCUGGAGAAGUGUGGCAGCGUGCGGCGGCACACGGUGGCCAAUGCCCACUCAGACAUCCAGCUGCUGGCCAUGGCCACCAUGAUGCACUCAGGCCUGGGGGAGGAUGCCAGCAGUGAGGACAAAUGCCUGCUCCUGCCACCCAGCUUCCCCUCACCUCACCGGCAGUGCUCCAGUGAGCCCAGCAUUACCGACAGCCCUGACGGACUGGAGGAGGGGGCCGGGGGCAGCCAGGAGGGCUCAGAGCUGAACUGUGCUUCCCUCAGCUGA
rnacentral:lncRNA from 13 species